rnacentral:rRNA from 1 species
UGCAAUCAGUGGAUGCCUUGGCAGUAAAAGCCGAAGAAGGACGUUUCAAGUCUGCGAAAGUUAUCGGGGAGGUGACAAGAACUUAUGAUCCGGUAGUGUCCGAAUGGGGAAACCUAGCCAGAUUUAUCUGGCUGUUACGCGACGUAAGUCGUGUUUCGGGAACUUGGGGAACUGAAAUAUCUAAGUACCCAAAGGAAAAGAAAUCGAAUGAGAGCCCCUUAGUAAGCGACGAGCGAACAGGGGUGAGUCUAAACCGUCAAUUUAUUGACGGUGUUGCAGGGCCAAACAUAACUUAACAUUUCUGCUAGAAGAACAACAUGGAAUAGUUGACCAUAGUGGGUGAGAGUCCCGUAUUCGAAAAUGGGAAUGUUAAAGUUUGGUACCUAAGUAAAUCUGGAGACGGCAAACUCUAGAUCGAAUCCGGGCCGACCACGGUCCAAGACUAAUUACUUUUACUGACCGAUAGUGAACUAGUACCGCGAGGGAAAGGUGAAAAGAAGGGUGAGUAGCCCUAUUAAAAGAUCCUGAAACUGAUUGCUAACAAACAGUCGGAGCCCCGACCUAAUAAGUCGUGGGUGACGGCGUGCCUAUUGAAGAAUGAGCCGGCGAGUUACUCAACACAGCAAGGUUAACCGAUAUGUUCCGGGAAACCGAAGGGAAACCAAGUCUUAACAGGGCGUGUAGUUGUGUUGUGUAGACCCGAAACCAGGUGAGCUAACCAUGAGCAGGGAGAAGGUCAGAGAAAUCUGACUGGAAGCCCGAACCGGUUGAUGUCGCAAAAUCAUCGGAUGACUUGUGGUUAGAGGUAAUAUGCCUAACGAACCUGGAGAUAGCUGGUUCUCCUCGAAACAUGUUUUGGCAUGGCCUCGCAUUUACGGUAUGGGGGGUAGAGUGCUGAAUGAACUUCACGAAUAAAAUCGUGAUUUUCAACCAAACUCCGAAUACCCAUAUCAAUUGUGCGGGAGUCAGUACCCGGGGGCUAAGCUCCGGGGGCGAAAGGGAAACAUCCCAGACCCACAAAUAAGGUCUCUAAAUAUAUAUUAAGUGGUAAAAGACGUGUUAUUUCUCAGACACCUAGGAGGUCGGCUCAGAAGCAGCCAUCCUUGAAAGAAAGCGUAACAGCUCACUAGCCGAGAGAUGCACGACUGAAGACGUAACGAGGCUAAAUAUAUUACCGAAUUUUGGGAACACGUAGCAAUACGGGUUGGUAGAGGAGCGUUCUUGUAGCUUUGAAGGCGAACCGGAAGGUUCUCUGGAGCAGCAAGAAGUGAGAAUGCCGGCAUGAGUAGCGUAAUAAAGUGAGAAUCUUUAUAUCCGAAUGAGCAAGGUUUCCUACGCAACGUUCGUCGACGUAGGGUAAGGCGACCCUUAGGUGAGGCCUAUAUGGCGUAGCCGAUGGAUUACUGGUUGAUAUUCCAGUCCUUGUUUGCAAUCGUUAUUAACUGGGGCGGGACGAAGUUGGAUAGUCCAAGCGGUGUGUUGAAGAUACAUACGCUUAAAUAGUAAGUCAGUCGCUGUUGGCAAAUCCGCAGUGGCGUUUACACGAGCUAUGAAUACGAGUCUGCCGUAAGGUGGGCAAGAUGGAUGACUUCAGUUUCCGAGAAAAGCGUCGCAGUGAGAGUGCAAAUAAUCCGUACCACAAACCGACACAGGUGCUCUGGUCGAGUAGACCAAGGAUAGCGAGAGAACUCUUCUUAAGGAACUCGGCAAAUUAGCUAGGCGUAAGUUCUACGAGAUGCCUUGCCCAGGUUGAAAUCUGGGCUACAACAAAAGAGUAUAAAGCGGCUGUUUAACAAAAACACAGGUCUGUGCAAAAGCGAAAGCUUAGGUAUACAGGCUGAAACCUGCCCAGUGCCGGAAGGUUAAAUGCGUGGGUGACCAUUCGCAAGAAUGAUAGCCUGCAAUUGAAGCCCCGGUGAACGGCAGCAGUAACUAUAACUGUUCUAUGGUAGCGAAAUUCCUUGUCGGGUAAGUUCCGACCUGCACGAAAGGUGAAACGACUUUAUAACUGUCUUGAGAAGAGACUCGGCGAAUUUGAAAUGGCUGUGAAGAUGCGGCCUACUGGCAGCAGGACAAAAAGACCCCGUGGAGCUUUACUACAACUUGGCACUGAAAUGUAUGCUGUAACUGUUUAGCAUAGGAGGGAGCGUUUUCAAUUUAUUGAGGGCGCGACAAUGAAAUACCUCUCUUUGCGACGUACGUUUCUAACCUAAUCCAAAUGCAAACUUUGGAGGGAACACUGUCUGGUGGGUAGUUUAACUGGGGAGGUUGCUUGCUAAAGAGUAACGCAAGCGCACAAAGGUACCCUUUCUCCGGAUGGAAAUCGGAGUGUAAGCGCAUAGGUAUAUGGGUGCUUAACUGUGAGACAUACAAGUCGAUCAGAUACGAAAGUAGGUCUAAGUGAUCCU